UGAGGAAUAUUGGUCAAUGGACGCAAGUCUGAACCAGCCAUGCCGCGUGGAGGAUGACAGCCUUCUGGGUUGUAAACUUCUUUUAUAUGGGAAGAAAAGUACGGUUUCUACUGUAUCCGACGGUACCAUAUGAAUAAGCACCGGCUAACUCCGUGCCAGCAGCCGCGGUAAUACGGAGGGUGCAAGCGUUAUCCGGAUUUACUGGGUUUAAAGGGUGUGUAGGCGGACAUUUAAGUCAGAGGUGAAAUCUCCGGGCUCAACCCGGAAACUGCCUUUGAUACUAUUUGUCUUGAAUUUCGUUGAGGUUGGCGGAAUAUAUCAUGUAGCGGUGAAAUGCAUAGAUAUGAUAUAGAACACCGAUUGCGAAGGCAGCUGGCUGAACGACGAUUGACGCUGAGGC
rnacentral:rRNA from 1 species